UUUGUGUCCAUGCUCUGCUGGCUCAAGCUGCCCACUCAGCUCUGCUGCCAAGCAACAUAGUACAUCAGGGCUCCUCCACCCCUGUGCUGCUACCUCUACUGUUAAAAAAACUUGCAGACAUUCUUUGGUAGCUUCUCUCUCUUGGGAACAAAGGUUGCUUUGUUUCCCUUUUUCCUUCUUCCUUCCUUCAACUGCUUGCAGUUGGGGAGAAGAGGAGAAAAAGAAGUGGGGAAUAGUGGAAGAAAGGAAUGUGCAAUGUCUUAACGAUUUUGGUUGGGAAAUGAUAAAAAGGUUUAAUGGCACUUGUAAGUUAAAAGAGAAGGUAAGCUGAAUUACAGACUGUUUUGUGAAAGACUGUAAUAACUUUUGCCCUGUUUGAGUUACUUUGCUAACUGAGUUCUAUGGCUAAAUGAUUGUGUGCCCUAAAUAUGUUUAGGUGUUAUAAAAUCCUCUGUGAUUCUGAAGAACAAAAGGUGUAGAUUUACAGGCUACUUGAAAAUGGAUGUUUUCUGUUCUGUAAGCCUUAAACAUGUUAAAACCACAGCAUUGUUUUGUUCACACAAGAAUGUAGUGUGACUGCGCCUAUUAAUGCCUUAUGUUAAUUCCAGGGGUGAUUUGUGUGUGUUCUGAGCGGGAGCCCAGAUAGGCUCCGGUGAAGAUUUUGUUCCUGAAAACUUUAUUCCUGUUUAGUCCUGUGCAGGAUUCCUCAUUUUGUUAAAAUGCCAUGAGCUGGGGCCAAAAACCCCAUCAUCUCUGUGCAGAUGGGACUUUUGUUGUGUUUGUGAAUAUGUAGAACUUGCUCUGAUAAUUGAAUAUCAGAAUUCAGUUACCAUAUCAAUGGAAAAAUUGGUUGUGGCCUGAAUGGCAGAAGGAGCUUUCGGCAGUCCCAACUGGCCAACUGGGAUGCUGAGGUUUUCCUUCUUUGCAGGUCCUCCCGAUAACAACUUGAUUAUGUUGUCUCUGUCAUUCAGAUGCAAAUGUUUUUGCCAAAUGUGAUUUUACACUGUAGUGCUGACUUUUGUGGAACUACAAGUCUGUGAUACUUUCUUGAGCUAAAGGGAGGCUGUAUAUGGGAAAGCUUUGUGUAAGUGCAUAGAUACACCAAGCAGGCAUAUCUCCUUGGCAAGAGAGAAAGGGGGGGCUCUUAAGUUCCUCUAACUUUGUUUAAGUUUCUCUGUAUAUACUGUACAUGGGAAAGUGUCUCCAACAUGGAGUCGGUCGAAUUCAGGGAGCCCAAACUGGAAAUUCUCCCCUCACCUGUUUCUUCCAACUACAGUAGGUUCCCAGUAAAUGAUGUUAAAUCUGCCCACCUGAGGAGGGAAGUUCUCUGAACAGUAGUUUGUUAUUGUGGGUGAGAAGAAAAAGGGAUUUAAAGUCAAAUAGUCAAAUGGAGUUAUUAUUUUAUAUUUCUGCAAUAUCUAUGCAAUACUUCUGCUAACUGAUCUUGAUGUAAACUAAGAGUAUUGUCAAAUGGUCUAUGGCUUAAGUUUUAAAUUUGUCUCACUGCCAGCCUUGCCUUUGCCUUCACAGUAGUUGAACCUUUAAAUUCCAGAACCCAGACGGAAGAUUUGAAGAAAUGAGAAAUUUCGAUUUUAUAACUCCUGCAAGUGGCAGGGAGUUCCAAAGUACCGGUUUGCAAUUCACCUUAGAAACUUCCCUGCUAAAGGGGAUUAGUCUUUUUGUGUGUGCAAUUAGAGGGGCAGUAGAUGGCUGAAUCCCUCACACAUGACCAAAUAUCAUGUGACUUUGGUGGGGAAUCCUGGGGUUUCCAUGGCUACUACUUUUGUUCUUAAUCCAGCUACUUUACUUCCUUUUGAGCCUACAGAAGACCAAGAACAUGAUUGUUUGCAAGCUGUGGACUGCACCUAUGCCAAGCCGUCCUGAUCUUAAAGAUGAACCUCUCCAAAAUGCAGACGUUGAUCUGUACACAGAUGGAGGCAGCUUCAUGUAAGAUGGACAACGUAAGCUGGCUAUGCAGUAGUGACUAACCAUGAAGUUCUGGUGGUGAAAUCUCUUUCUCCUGGUAUCUCAGCACAGCUUGGAGAGCUCAUCGCCUUCAAGGUAAUUUUUACACAACACAUGGGGCCACUUGGAAAGAAAGAAGAUCUUUAACAGUGGGAAACAAGGAAGUAAAGUAUGGGACACAGAUAUGAGAACUCUAGACUGCUGUUACACUACUAGCAGAGGUUGCAGUCAUCCAUAGCAGAGGUCACCAGAGGGAAAUGACCCAGUGACAAAGGGUAAUUGGAUGGCAGAUGCUGCAGCUAAAAACGCUGCUCCUUCUAUUCCUGUUUCCAAGCAUCUUUGAUUCCUGUGUUAACAAUCUUGGCACAACCCCCCACAUAUUCAGAAAAAGGACACUGACUUUGCACCACAGCAGGGGGCGCAUUUAGAAGAGGAUGGCUGGUGAAGAACAGCAGAUGGAUGUGGAAUUCUUCCAGAUCCAAUCCUUAGGUUUUUCCUAGUCAAUACAAAGACACUUUUAUGCCUCUUGGAUGUACCCUUUUGCAGAACAUGUGGCAACAGCCUGUGUAAUUUGUGUAGUAAACAAUCCUACUUUACCAAGAAAUGUCAAACCCAAACUUGUAUCCAUCAGUGACUUGUUAAUUAUAAGGCUGAAGACGGAGAGCUGGAACAUUAUUUGCACGUGGCUUAGAUGGGGAUGGUGAAAAUCCCAAAGGCUAGAUGUUACUGAUGGAUCAUCCUUUUAUGGAGAAUGAAGUCAGGUACACUGGAUGGAGAUCGAAUGCCCUGACAGAAGUCCAUGAGUUUGUUGGCAGCCAACACAGUGUACUGGUUAGAGUGUUGAACUAGAACUGGGGAGACCCAAAUUCAGGUCCUCAUUCGACCAAGACACUUGCAGUCACUUCUCUCACAACCUGGCCUGGCCUGCCUCAAAGGGUUGCCAUGAGGCUACAUGGAAACCAGACUUUGUCAGUAGUCACACUCAGACGGCCUAUGUGGAAUUCAAGCGCUGGAAUUUAUGUUGUAGCCUCUCAAGUGAAGACUAUGUUUGACCUGUUAGGCCUGCUUUAGUGUCUCCUCAAAGCCACAAACCCACAAGGGGAGUGAAAACGUGGGCACCUUUUUCUUGUGAACAUUUGCAACUGUCAUUUUUGCUUGGAUUAAAGCCAAAGGAGGACAUCAUCCUCUGUUUUGGACUGACGGGGAAAGGAGCCAGGGCAAACAGGCAAGACACAAAACAUGAUUGGGAAACUAUGCCAAAGGACCAAGUUGACAAUGGCCUCAGGUUUUAUUCAUUCUGUUAUUUGCCUUGAAAGUUUUAUAACCUUUCUCCUUUGGAAAUGGUACCCACUUGUGUUGCCAGGGACCUGAUCCCAGGAUGCUAUCCCUACCCGGGGGAGGGAAUUGUUGGUAACUCACUUGCCUAUCUUUCUCCCAAGUAAGCAGGUUUGCAACCAACUGUGUCUUGAACUAUCUUUCCAAGAAGGACUCGUCUUCUCCAGAUCUGUAUGUGACCCGGAACAAUGGUCAAGUGCGAGGGAAGCAGUACCUGGUCCUGGAUUCUUCCAUCCAAUUGUCAAGGAAGUCCCCAGAGGACAACUCUGACCUGGAGCAGGCUGGGAUGCCUGCCGUCAACAGCAGUUGCCUGAGGGGGGUCCCUGUUUGCAUUUCCAGUCUAGGCCAAUGGUGAUGGAACGUCCAUUGGCUGCCCUGUCUUGUGUUCGAGGAAGAGGCCCUGAUGCAAGUUUCCUGUUCCUGCUCCUCCUGCAUCCCAGAGUGCUGUGGGUGAAGAUUUGAUGCCAAAUACCUGAGGAGUACCUCAUGGCUAACAGGCUACCCAAAUAUCCAACUGCCCCUGGAUUAUUUGCUACCUCAAGAAGCUACUAAGGGGUGGGUGGGAGUUGAUUUGUUGAUUUGCUCCACUUCCUUUGAUUUGCUCCACUUCCUUGUGGUGACUAUGUGCUGCUAUUAUUGCAGAACUCCAACUGGUGGGUACUGUGGGGGAGAUCAGAAGAUGCCUACAUCCUGUGCCAAUCAUCUUACUGUCCUACCCAAGGCAUCUACCUGUAAGUCUGCACCUUUCUCCAACUUGAAGGUUCUUUUGUGCUCUAUGGACAUUAUUUGAGACUUCCUAGGCCUGUUCUGUAUGUGAGAAAACUGGCUAGCUAAAGUUUUAUCUGUUAAUUUCCUGAGCACCUAUACUUGUUAUCUGAUGUGACUGUAAGUAUACCUGAUUCUAAAAUGAUACUAUUUAUCAUUGUCAUUGCUUUCCAUGAGCUAAUAAUCCAUUAAUUACCAGAAGCCCUUGGCUCCACAAAGCUCUCUGCACAAUCAUUCCUGGAAUUGGAAUGUCAGACCCAGAAAGGGGUGUAUCAAGUACUUCUGGUGAAAUGGAAUUGGCUUGGAAUGCAGCUGUAAAUGCUAUUGAUGUUGUGUAUGCAUUCUUGACAAUUUGGGGACUGAUUAUGAUUGAAAAAAAUGUAUGAUGGUUUCUGUAUUUAUGAUAGUUUUGAUACUUGCCUUAUGCAGUGUAUUGGAAAAUGUUAUCAGGAAGAUUCAGAGAACCACCAGAGGCUUUUAUCUAUUACAGACAGAACAAAACCAAAGCCCAUACUUAUGUGGUUUGGAUAAAAGAGUUAACCCAUGGUUAGUAUGGGUCCUGAAAUCAGGCUUUCCAGGUUCAGAUUCUUAGAUAAACACCCCAGGACACCCACAUAGGGAAGUCCUACCUAAAUUGGCAAAGAAGGUUAUCUCAGGAGAUAGACUUGGUAUGGUAAAGAUUCCUGGAUAUGUGAUCGGUGGAGAGGUGUUGGUCAUGCUUGUUACUGUAUACUGUUGUAUUUUGAUUUCCAUAAUGAUGUCUAUGGGUAAUACAAGGAGCAUGCCAAGGCCUGAAGUAGCUCAAUAUCUUCAUGAGUGAUAGUGAGGCAUGAAAAAGGAGCAUGUGGUUGCACUUUUUGGCCUCAAGUGGGGAAUGUUACCCGUCAAUCUAAGCCUUUCAUAUUGAUCUAUAUGUAUUGAUCCUAGGAUACAUAGUUAAUGGAGAACUGAGCUCUUGCUACACCAUUUUGAUGGUAGCUGAAGAGAGCAAGAGUCCCCUCCAUCUUGUAUUCCUGAAUGUAUGUCAGUGGAAAAGAAUCUGCUUACUAUGCUUUGGUUCUCAUACUCUGUGCCUUGCAGACCUUGUAACUUGCAACAUAGUAUGUAUUCUCUAUGCCUUGCUUUGUUCUGGCCUACUGGUCAGGAGAGGUGAUGAUGCUGGUAUCUGAACUGCCUCCUAGAGGCUGCAUAAGCACUCCUUUAACAACGGUAGUAUUGUAAGCCUGUUGGCCUAAUAUGAAGUUGUACGGCCGGACUACCUAGCUGGUUUGUUGUGAAUGAUGAUGUAUUCAGAUGUAUCAAUUGUUGUAUAAAAGCUUUGGACGAA